rnacentral:lncRNA from 1 species
GUCGAACUCACAUAGCUUGCAUCUGUAGAACAAACCCUCGACGGACUCGUUGCAGAUGUCGCACACGCGUUCGUUCUGGCGCGUGGACUGCUUUUGACGGAAGAGGCUGAUCUCGUGCUGGGGAUGAGUGAAGUUUUGGAGGGUGAAGGGACACGUGGCGCAGUAUUCGUGGAGAUCGUAGUUGCAUGGCUCGCAUCUAUAGGUUUUGUCUGAGCCGUAGGUUUUGCAGCCGUCGCAGAUAAAGUCACAUGCGAUGUUCAACUCCGUUAGUGGAUGAUUGUGCGUGAAAUGCUGAACGGCGCGCGGUUUUGGUGUCUUUGAAGCCAUCUUUAGCGUUUUUGGUGUGUGUGUGUGUGUUUUUUUAAAAAAAGGUUCGGAUUUGAGAAAAUAAACGGUGGUAUAAGAACGAAUACUUUUGAGAUGAUUCCAAAUAUUGUUUCGGAAAUAAAUAAGAACUUUCGCUAGACUGGUUACAAAAGACUGAAAGAUAGUACUUUUGUUGACUUGUCUAGAUAAGGUUAACGUGCUCUAGAAAUGUGUGGUACCGUAAUUUAGUUGACUGACUAUGUAUGACUUAACGAUCAAUAUUGUGGCCUCUUCCUCAUAAUCACAUAUCAACAUUUCAUUGUCUUCAUGAUAAAGGACUGCGCUCCAAUUUUCACAGUAGAAAAUGGACUGGAUUACAGUGAAAUGUUAAACUCAAAAGUAAAAUAUUUUUAUUCAAAAUUAGAACUAUCAUUUAAAAGACGAUAAAUAAAACAUAUCAGUCAAAAAAUAUGUUAAGAGAUUAAUGUUUUAUGUAUGGAAUUGAUUUCUUAGUUUAGUUGUAGUGUUUUUUUUUUUUUACUUCCAAUUAAAGAUUUUUAUUAUGUCUAUAUGUCUUGUAGAUGUUUGAAAUAGGUCUAUUUGGUGGACUGUGGGGAACUCUAGUUCGCACAGGCUGAGAUCUAUGAUGGUAUAGACUUUUUUUUAAUGCUAGUGUUACUAUAUUUUUCGAUAAAUUAUUUUAUUACUUACACAACAAAAAAUGUUUGUUCCAGAUUAAAUAAAUUUCUGAAUCCGCUCGUGUACCCAUUUUGUUUGGACAUGCAUGUGGAACAAGGUGGUCGUAAGGCCAAGAGAAAAGCCUUGCAUACACGUACGAGUCCAACGGAAUACGAAGAUUCUCGGAAAUGUAGACCGAAGUGGUGGAAAUAGUCCAACCAAAACUGUUCCAAAACAUCCAAUAGUAAAUAGUUUGAAACAUCAAAAGAAAAAUGAUACGAAAUUAUGGAGAUCAAAUAGACUUGCCAGAGAUGUGGUCCAUGUGGAGUUAUUGAGAUAAUGAUGUGCAGAAGAGUCUUAGUCCAUUAUCUUUAGUACCAAUUUCUUCUAUUGGGUUUAUAUUUACGUACUUGUAUAAACAUUCUAGUUUAUGAAUUAAUAGAAUCAACUUUUUUAUCCAAUUUAGUUUGGAAGCGGAGGAAACAAUUACCCUGAGUAUCUUUCUUUCUUACAAAUUUGGAAUUUAUCACCGAUCAUGUUGAUUCAAAAUAAUUUUCCAACGAAUUCGGUUAAUACGAACGUGGAUCAUCUCUUUUGAACAAUUCCAAAUAAAUAAAAUCCGAUGACACUGUAAAUUAGGUGGUUUAUCUGGAAAAAAUAAAUAAAGUAAAAAUGGUAUUUUUCAGGGUGCUCAACCGGAGUCGCCUUAAUAUGGUAACACGUACUUUUUAAAAUUUUCUAAAUUUAUUGUAUAAAAAGAAAAAGAAAUCAAACAUAUAUAACGAAAAAGAAAGCAAACAUAACGAAAAAAAAAAACGAAAAAGAAAACAAACAUAACGAAUAGAGAAACAAGACAUAGCAUGGCAGGAAGUUAAUGUUAGAGACGUGCCAUUUCAAAAGCCGCCGCUAAAGGCUUCGGAGACCGGUGCAGCGAUGAUAUUGCAAACAACACCAACCGUUAGAGCCAUCAAAACGCCAAACAUUCUUCUUCCUAUACUUGGACGCGACUCUUGAACAUGACCUUGAUGAUUUGUAUAUCCGUGAUUGUAAUAAGGCUGGUAAUACUGAGAAGGGUGAUAAUACGGUUGUGACCCAUCAUAACACCUCUCCUGAAACGUCGUCGCUGCGACUGAUGAUGCUGACGAAUUAACGCAUUCCAUGUGAACAUCUAACCGGCAUGGACCACACUUGUACCGCCAAGACCGGAUUGCCCCGUGGCAAACCAUGCACGCGCUGCUUGCUCCCCAAUGACUCAGGUCUAAGAGAUGGGCCUGAUGGGGCACGUGCCUCACGUGCUGAGGCAGCCACGUGCAGAGUGGAUGGACGUCGAAGCCGCAAGGCUCGCAUUGGUAAAAGAGCCCUUCGGCUGAUUCGUCGCAGAUGUCGCACAUACGUUUGUCAUGGUGCGUCUGCUCUGGUCCUCUAAAGACUAGUCGUAGCUCGUGUUGUGGAUGCAUGAAGCUGAGGAGGGUAGGGGGACACGUAGCGCAGUGAUCGUGGAGAUUGUAGUCGCACCAGGAGCAACGGUAGGUCUUCCCAAAACCGUAGGUUUUGCAGCCAUUGCAUGUGAACUCGCCAUAUCCAUCAAACUUUGUUAAUGGAUGCAUAUGGGUGAAAUGUUGGACUACGUGACUUGACGAAGACAUUUCGUGGUUCUUAUUUGUUUGUUCUUGAGAACGGUUAAGAUUUGAGAGAAUGAGUGGGGUGGUUUAAAAAGAACUAGUUUUUAGAACCAUUCUCAAACAAACUUUUUUUGGCAACUUGACUACUUGAGUUAAAACUUUGGUUUAGAGUCUUUAGACCAUCAAACAAAUAAUAGUUUCUGUAUAGCUGUCCUUACAAAAAUAUUAGCUUUCGUUCACUUGUACGCCAAAAACAAUAACUUUAACUUGGUCUUUAGAAAUUUUGAGAACGUGGUGAAGUAGUGUAGUUGACUUUGGCUAGUUGACUGAAUUUGGCCUCUUUUGAUUCGCGUCACAAUUUCUUUUUUUUUUUCAUUUUUUUUAAAACGUAUGAGUUUUUUAGUCGAUUUUCACAAAUAAAUCUACACAAUAAAUAUUCAUUUCUUUCGAAUAUUUUCCAAUGGUCGAAGAACAUGAUAUAUCAAGAAAUAAUUUCCCUUUGUUAUUGAGUCAGAUUGGAUGUAAACCAUAGCUUAAUCUGUUGUUUGAGAAUCAGAUUUUUACUCCAUGGUUAUUCCUCCCACGAUGUAUACUCCAUGUGCUUGUAUUUUGUAAGUUAUGAUCGCACCUCAUUCCAAGAACCUGAAAGCAUCAUGACAUGCCUUGGAUUGGGUAGCCUUAUCAACCCAUGAUUAACGUUUUAUCGCCUCUUGACUUUUUUUUAUACGUUCAAAUGAAUGGAUUUUUUCUACUAUCCAAACAACAUAAUUAUUACAAAAAUAUAUAUCUAAAUUGUAAUGUUUUUCUAUUUAAAUGAUAUAUAGUUGAUAAAUGAUUGUUUUCGAUCUUUCCUAGUAUCUAUUCGGAAGAACAAAUUGGUGAUUAUUUAUUACAGUUAACAUAAUUUUCAGUGUUGUGAUUUUAUUUUACACAACUGUGUAGCAAAAAAAGGAAAAGUAGAGAACCUGAUACAAACUGAUUUGCAUAAAGUUUGAGACUUUGAGUGGUUACUUUGGCCAGAAUGAUUUUUAUUUGUUGAAAAAGUUUCUGCAUUUUUGGCACAAAAUAUUAAAAUACAAAAAAAAAACAACAAAAUAAUACAUGUUUGCGUUUUCUUUGUAAAAAUUCAAAACUCACGCAAAAAGACUUUCAACGGAAAGCCCAAACAGUACAUUAGAAACCACCCCAAUUGUUAGCUUCGACGCAACGGUAAACAUUCUCCAGCCCUUACCCGGAUUCGGCUUUUGACCCGCUCCGGCCACUGGUACUUGGCCCUGGUCAUAUCGAACCCGUUCAUGUAACUAAAGUUAUUAGGGUUAGAGAUGAUAAGGCUGUGACCAUACGCAUAAGGGUAACCAAAAGCCGGUUGUUGACCCAUCGGUCCAUAACCAUAAGGGUAACCAACAUGCGGUUGUUGCCACGACGCCGAUGAAGAUGGUUGUCCUCCAUGUGCCUUGAGCCCUCUGCUUUUAAUACCCGAUUCAUCUGUCGGGUCAGAAGGUGACGUGUUACACACGGCUAAGAUACACUCCAUAUGAAUAUCAAACCUACAUAGCUCACACCUAUAUCUCCAAGACUGGCACGGGCCACGACAAACCAUACACGCGCUUGCUCCACCGAGGCGAAACUCCAAGUGAUGAGCAGGGUGAAGCACGUGCCUCACGUGCUGAGGCAGCUGCGUGCAGAGCGGGUGUACGUCGAACUCACAUAGCUUGCAUCUGUAGAACAAACCCUCGACAGACUCGUUGCAGAUGUCGCACGCGCGUUCGUUUUGGCGCGUGGACUGUUGUUUACGGACGACGAGGCUGAGCUCGUGCUGGGGAUGAAUGAAGGUCGGGAGGGUGAGUGGACACGUGGCACAGUAUUCGUGGAGAUCGUAGUUGCAUGGUUCGCAUCGAUAGGUUUUGCCUGAGCCGUAGGUUUUGCAGCCGUCGCAGUUGAAGUCACCGACGCUGUUA